AGCUCUUUCAUUCAAAGUAUUUUUAAAAUAUUUUACCGAUUCUUCAAAACAAGGUCUUUGCUUGACUGGCUUAAUGCCUUACCAUUGCUUCAUUUUCUCCGUGGAGAAUGUGAACCAUUUAAAGAAGUCCUCUAUACAUCAACGCCUGAUUUUGGGCAAUCAAAAUGGUGGGGUUUGCAAGGCCUUGAUUUCGGAGAAGUUAAAAGUUCUAUGGGAGACAGUGAGUUGAAAGAUAUACUGCAAGAAGUAGAAAAAAUGUUUCAUGUUGAUCCUUUACUGAGGCGUACAUACCUACUGCUAUGUCCUCUAAAGAUAUUUGGUGACCUUCUGAAAGAAAAAUAUUUCACUUUGCUUGAGUUGUGUUUUACAAUACGGAAGCUGAUACUGGAUGGAAACUUGCAAAAUGUGGACUUGAAGAAAAAAAGUCUGGAAAAUGAUUUACGAGUGAACAACAUAUAGGCACCGAUCUCUUUACGUAAAAAUUGAUAUAAAGCAAUUAAAUUCAA